GCCCUGCCCUGGAGGCGCUGUCAGUGGCCCAGGUGCAGGGGCGGGCGGUGGAUCGCCGUGCGCUCUGCUCCGAGGAGAGAGGCUCGGGGUGAGCCGAGCGCUCUAUCCCCGGUUCAGCGAUUGGUGACAAGGGGAGGGGGAGCGUGCGCUGUAUCCCAAGGCAGGGAGCCAAGGGAUCUGCGCCUGGCAGAAGGGUCCGGUGUGCUUUGCUCUAGGGAGCGAGAGGGUCUCAUACGUGCGCUCUGCUUCGGGGACAGGGCUGGGGAAGGGGGCGCCGUGCGCUCUGCCCCGGCGGUAGGGUCGGUGCGCUCUGCGCCGAGGCUAGGGACAGGAGUGGAACCGUCUUCUGGAGCUUUAGCCUCUUGCCCUGGGCUUUGCUAGGGGCAGGGCACCCAGCGUGACCGACGUUGGGAGCGGACCAGGGCUGGUCUUGUCUCUGAUGCGCCCUCUCUGCUCCCUUCCCCCGCAGGGUCAGCUCGGGCUGCGGGCAGCUGUGCCAGAGCGGGGACGGCUCCUUGGCUGGACUGUGGGGCUCCUGGCCGUGCCCGAAGCCCUUCACCUCCUACCUUCAAGCUCAGGGAGGAGGCGGAUUUUCUUCAGCUUGGCUCCGCUGCCCCCCAGAGAUGGUGGGCCACCUGCACCUGCAAGGAAUGGAAGAGAGUCUGAAAGAGAAGAGCCGGGAGGGCCUGCUGGACAGUCCGGAUUCCGGGCUGCCUCCCAGCCCUAGCCCCCCUUUCUACACCUUGGCUCCCGGGAUCAUUGGGGGCAGCAGCACGGGGACAGAUCACCCAGGACAUGGGCCCAGAAAGGAAGCCAAGGAAGGCAAAGUGAUUCCUUACCUUCUUGUGAACUCUUCUGUGCCCGAGAUGAGGCCUCGAAUGUUCCCGGUGUUCUUUGGCGAAAGCAUUGAGGUCAACCCUGAACCUGUGCAGGAAAUUAGGUGCAACUCGGAGGUGAAAUAUGACUCAGAGAAACACUACAAGGACGACAUCUUCUACGGACCCAUCCCCACCAUAACCGCCUACAGCGAGACGGUCAUCGCCACGCCAAACUGCACCUGGAGGAACUACAAGUCGCAGCUGAUCUUCGAGCCCCGACAGAAGCCCCUGCGAUUCCAGAGCACAACCAUCAUCUUCCCCAAACGCACCAAGAACAUUUACCGAACCACCCUCACCUACAGCCUGGGCUGUGCCAAGCGCUGGUUCGCGUCCAGCGUGCAGCUGGAGCUGUGCGAAGAAACCAGCCCCUGCGUCAUCUACAGCGAGACCCUUUCGUCCGCCCGUGGGGGGCUCUGACGACCACAAGGCCGCAUCCUUUGCUGGCCUCUCCGGACAGACAGAUUUGGCCAGGUGCCUUCAUUGAUGGCGACGGGCCCUUGACUACUAGCGGCUGGGCGUGCGUGGUCUUAGACGCAUCUGAACUGCUCCAAGAGGAGGCCUAGAGGGGUCGUACUCUUUAUGGAUUUGGUCAGCACAAGGCUGGCGUUUGUUGUGAGACAUUUUUGAUGUUCACGCUCUGGAUUUUUAUUUUAUUUUUUGACACAUAUCUAUUUUAAAUAGCAUUUCAAUGAAAUCAGACAGCAAAGGCCCUAGGUUUGCAGUUACCAUAUGUUAUAGUGCUGCUUCCCAGCUCCGUGGGUCUUCUCUAGCACGUAGGCACGACUUAGCAGUGCCUUGGAAGCCGAUCCUGUCUGAUAGGAGAAGACCAGCUGCAGACUCACCAUCCAACCUGCACAGCCGCUAUCUGCCUGCUUCUCCUAGUGUUUAAACACAGAGAAGACAGUUGUUACUUUUAAUUGCAUAAGACAUUGAUCCCACUCCGAAUCCCCAUCUGGAGGACGGCUCCAGGAUUGCAUUGCAGCACCACAGUGACCUCCGAUUUAGCUUUUUUAAAAAUAAAAAUGGUCACCAAAACAGGGAAGACGAUCGAUCGUGCUGACAGGGCACCACCACCACCUUUCCAGAAUAGGCAAGUGCCAAACUCCCAUUCGAGACCCUUCUGAGGAACCAGAUGUUUACAUGCCAUAGCGGGAUACCGUGCAAGGGGCCUCUAGGGGAGCCGAGAAGGGAAUGCUUCAGGGGAGAUUUGCAUUCUAAGGAGGAUGCAAGCCAGGGAAAAUGGCAGAAAUCUUAGCUAACAGGGAUAAAACACACAGAGGACAGAUCUAAUUCAGGAUUAACCUGAUUUUAUGCAAAGGCAGCUUACGACAAUCAGGUUAACUAGGUAUAGGAGAAUAGGCUUUCAAGGGCAAUUCCUGGAGGACCAAAAGUCUUUUCUGUUACAUGAGAUGAUAAAGACCAUAGCAGGAGCAGAAGUUUAAACUCCGAGUUGAAGACUGUCAACAGGACAGAUGUUUCCAAAAUUCAGCAGAAUGGAGCCGUGGCUCAUCGCCAGCCUGCUGAGUCCGGUAAUAGUGCACAAUAGUAAUAAUUCAUCCAAGGACAAUGAAAGGAACCGCCUAUUCCUACCCUCUGCUCCUCCCCCAAGCUGGUUACUUCCCAUGCAGCUGUAAAAACACGGAGGUGGGCAGCCUUCAGAAGGUGCCAGCGGGCCAGCACCAGCAGCCAGCUUCAAACCUGGCUGAUCCCUCCCUGCCACCUACAAGCUCUCGGAGAUCUGGCACUAACAGAUCCUGUCACUGGGUUAGACGGCAUCUGCAUGUCACCUUGUCCCCGAGACAGACCCCUGCUAGCAGAGACUGAUUUGAUAUCCUUUUCCCACCACUUCUUCACAAAGAAUAGAUUUAACCUCCUGGUACUUUAUUUUUUUUGUGAGCUGAAGCUGAAAGAGGGAAGUUGGUUGCUCUUUUUUAAAUGCUCACUUUCACUUGUAUCUAAACUACGAGGAAACCGUCCGCUCUAGGGCUUCAACUGGCAUCAGCAUUGAAAGGGAACGAGAAAAGAGAACAACAGUGCUCUGGCAGGCUCUGUUUUAGUGCAGGACUCCAUAUGUGGCAUCGCUGUACUGAUCUGUUGUUAGCUGUUUUCAUUUCCCUCUGGGGAUAACAAACUGCAGCAAGACAAGCACAGCUCUGGCUGGGAAAGGAAUUAAGGAAAUCAUGCCCAUAGUUAUGAAAAUUGAACCCAUCCAGCAUCACCUACAAAGAUUAUUUGAUGUGCCUACAAGUGGGACUUUUGUGUUGAUUAGACUACAAUAGGAACAAUGCUAAGCAACAGUGCGUCAGUAAAUGACAAUGCCUACGCAGAGGGUGACACAGACACAUUUUCCUUCCUUGAGGCUGAGGAACCAAAAACCAAAACAAAACAAAACACCUCCUGACCUGCAUCCAUUCAGGAUGAUUGAAAACAGUGAAUCUCAGAAUUUGGCCUGAAGCCCCCAGAUCCUGCACCAGCGCUGUGGCAUGCCCUUGUGGAGCCAGGUACACCGUGUGGCUUUCAAGGCAGUCGAAGUCUGUGGAAAGGCUCACGUUGAUUU